rnacentral:rRNA from 1 species
UACGGAGGGUGCGAGCGUUGUCCGGAAUCAUUGGGCGUAAAGGGCGCGUAGGCGGCCUGAUAAGUCGGGGGUGAAAUCCUGCGGCUUAACCGCAGGGCUGCCUUCUAAACUGUCAGGCUGGAGCACAGUAGAGGCAGGUGGAAUUCCCGGUGUAGCGGUGGAAUGCGUAGAGAUCGGGAAGAACAUCAGUGGCGAAGGCGGCCUGCUGGGCUGUUGCUGACGCUGAGGCGCGACAGCGUGGGGAGCAAACAGG